rnacentral:rRNA from 1 species
AAACGACUUUCGACGACGGAUAUCUUGGCUCUCGCAUCGAUGAAGAGCGUAGUGAAAUGCGAUACUUGGUGUGAAUUGCAGAAUCCCGUGAACCAUCGAGUCUUUGAACGCAAGUUGCGCCCGAAGCCAUUAGGCCGAGGGCAUGUCUGCCUGGGCGUCAUGCAA